GAGCUUCCACAGGAUGCAGGAAUAUUGCUUGUUUCCUAUUCUGAAGAUUGGAAUUUUGAUUGUGGAGUCCUUUUUCAUUACGUUCUUUUAUUUCCUUUUUAAUUUCUCUAUUUUCUAACUCAGUUUUUCUGACAUGAAGCUUGAUUCAGCCUUUAUAGACCCUUUUCACAUGACGUCAGACAACAUCCGUUUUGACUCGAUCCAGUGUAUCUUUAGUUCCGGUGUGUGUAGUUAACGCUGUUUCUGGACUCUAAAGCAGCUGCCACAAAUACGAUUUGAAGAUAUAUCACUAUUUGCAAACAGUUUUUCUUCAUCAACAUAAUCUAAACUGGAAAAAUUCCUCGCUGAUUGAUACCAGUUUGACUACGAAGGUUACACUUGAUUCUGCUGUGGUGCCUGUGGAAAGAAAGUGCAUGAAGUUUGUGCUGAGGUGGGAAAACCCUGUGGAUCACAUGGUGGGACUUUUGCUUCAAACUGCUUAUUACAGUAUACCACUGCCUCUGUCAUCCACCAGUUCACUGCAGACUGGCACCUGCCAAGGACCCUACAUGGAUGUCUUCUUCAGUUGUAAACCCUGAGUACAUAAUGUUGAAAUAAAAUUGAUAUGCUUUUCUAAAUACAUUUUCUCUAUCAAUGACUUAAAUUAACUGUGGUAAUUAUGUUUGUGUAAUGUAGUAACCAUGCACAGUGUUUAAUAUAAUUAUUACAUAGAUGUUUGCAAGAAA